rnacentral:rRNA from 1 species
AUGCUUUUUAACCUGGUGGCUGAUAUUUUUAGUAGAAUGCUCAAUAAAGCAGCUAGGAAUAGCCUAAUAUCAGGGUUUAUGACUAAUGUCUUCCCUCAAGGGGUGACAAGUUUGCAGUAUGCAGAUGACACCCUACUUUUUAUUGAUAAUAACUUGGUCUCAGCCAAAAACCUGAAGUGGCUUCUUUCUUGUUUUGAGCAUAUGUCUGGACUUAGAAUUAAUUUUCACAAAUGUGAUUUGAUUCCUAUCCAUGUCCAUGAGGAGGAUGCUCAAAAGGUGGCUAUAGCCUUAUCAUGUGGUUUGGGAGCUUUCCCCUUAAAAUACCUAGGUUUCCCUCUUCAUUACACCAAGCUCAGGAGAGAAGACCUGCAGCCUGUGGUUGAUAAGGUGCUGAAAAAAGCUGCUGGUUGGAGAGGUAGAUUGCUAGGAUAUGAGAAGAAAUUGGUGCUAGUACAAUCAUGUCUAGCUAGUAUUCCCACUUAUCUUAUGAGCAUGAUCAAAUUCCCCAAGUGGGCAAUUAACUUGAUUAACUCCCAGAUGGCUCAUUGUUUUUGGGAUAAUUAUGAAGGUCACCAUAGAUAUCAUCUUGCCAACUGGGGGCUGGUAACUCAGAAAAAGCAAUAUGGGGGCCUGGGGGUCCCUAAUAUUGCUGAGAUGAACCUGAGCUUACUAGCAUCCUGGGUUUAUAAGUUUCAUGCUAGUGGUAAUAAGAUUUGGAAACAGAUUAUUGAUUCCAAAUAUAGAGCGAAUAAUCCUAACAUUUUCUCUUGCCCUGAUAUUAACACAUCCCCCUUUUGGAAAGGGGUCUUGUGGGCUGCUAAAGCAGCUAAGCAUGGGUAUCAAUGGAAAGUGGGCAAUGGGAAGAGAGUUAAAUUCUUGGAAGAUCACUGGUUUGGGUCUUGUAGCUUGGCCAUCCAGUUUUUGGAUUUAUAUGUGAUAGCUAAUGAGCAUAAUCAGACGGUGGCUGACCUUUGGGAUGGAGUUAACCUGAAAAAUUACAUUUAG